CGCUGGCGGCGUGCCUAACACAUGCAAGUCGAGCGAGGAGAUCCUUCGGGAUGAUCCUAGCGGCGGACGGGUGAGUAACACGUGGGCAACCUGCCUCAUAGAGAGGAAUAGCCUUCCGAAAGGGAGCUUAAUACCUCAUAACAUUGCAGUUUCGCAUGGAACAGCAAUUAAAGGAGCAAUCCACUAUGAGAUGGGCCCGCGGCGCAUUAGCUAGUUGGUGAGGUAACGGCUCACCAAGGCGACGAUGCGUAGCCGACCUGAGAGGGUGAUCGGCCACAUUGGGACUGAGACACGGCCCAGACUCCUACGGGAGGCAGCAGUGGGGAAUAUUGCACAAUGGGGGAAACCCUGAUGCAAGCAACGCCGCGUGAGUGAUGACGGCCUUCGGGUUGUAAAGCUCUGUCUUCAGGGACGAUAAUGACGGUACCUGAGGAGGAAGCCACGGCUAACUACGUGCCAGCCGCAGC
rnacentral:rRNA from 1 species